AUCUCUUGAGUUUUUGUUGGUUUGUUUGUUUUUUGUUGUCACAGGGUAGCUGGCCCUUUAAGGGGAAAUGAGACCUAGCCCAACCUGUGACAUUGUUAACUUGUCUCUCCAGGUCGGGAAAAUGAAGAUGGGUCAUGUGAUUCAAUCAGUCCUAGGGUAAAUAAGGGAGAGGCCUGGUAAGCAGAGAGAAACUGUAGCAAAGGCUUGGAUUAGGAGGCUUCUGUAACAGAUCCAGAGAAGCUAGGAGAACAACAGUGUGGGUUGUUGCUUGCUAGUGUUUCUGAGACAUGGAAAAGACAACUCAGAGUUUUGGAACCUGUCUUGAGGGGAAGGACUCUAGGUAGGAUGGCCUGAGAGUAGCUGCUUGAAGAGUAGGGAUAUAUUCCAUCCAGUAGCCCUUCCCAGCCAUUUUUAGUUGAAGAGCAGACUGAGACUGAAAAACUGCCCCAGGACUGACAGAAGAUGCCAAAGCUGAAAAACUGAGAUAGGGCUGCUGCAUUGCCACCCCUGGCCCUAAGGCUGUCCUCUGAGAGAUGGUGACCCUCUUGCAGGUUUGACAUGAUGAUUGAACUCUUGUGGAUGGAAUACUGGUGGAGUAUAAAUUUAAUCACUUUUUAAGUGGAGAAACUGAGACUUAAAACUGCCUUUGAAACGUCUAUCAACAAGAUGACUUACAAGCAGCUCAAUCCAGAGGUGAGGUUCGUAGUCCCUCUGAAUAACAACUGAAAGGACUACUUGACCAAACUUGGCAUUGUCUCUGGAAUGCUGAAAUAUGGCAUAAUGAGUUGUAAAUGUGUGUACCAAUGAUUCAAAUGUCUGUCAUAUGCACUUGAGGUAAAAAAGCUACAGCAGUUGCUUGAGUUCUUGCCAAGCAUGCUACUUUGCUUGAUGGGGUGACUCUGGCAAUGUCACAUAGCACAUAUAUAUGCAGGGGGAAAUCCAUGAUGAGGUCUGCAUUGAAACUGGAGGCCCUUCAUCUUGUCUGCAACUGUUAUGAACAGUUGGGAAGACCUAAACAAUCUGGUUCUGGCUACAUAAAAAGCUAAUGCUCUUCUGACAUGAAUGAAGCUUGGGAAAGAAAGUUGCUAAGUCAAUCUCUCGAUUAAGGUGGCAUUCCAGUAUUACUUAGUCACAAAUUUUGGAUGUGGUUAUAAGUAUAAUUUGUCCUUAUAACAGACUGUGUAAGGCGGGUCAGCUAUCAAUGUUCAUAAUUACACCACAUUUCUUGCAGAGGUAAUAGAUACCAAAAAUAUUACUUUGGAUAAUAUCCAAAAUAUUGGAUCGGUGAAGUGAGGAGUAGAUAGCCAUCGGUUCAAAAGGUGAAUCUGUCAAAAGGCUGUCUUCUAUUCAGAAGGAUGUUUUGUACAUUCCCUGAACACUCUGCCUCCUGGGGUGUUAACUCUGGAGCACCCACAUGGUAAAAGAGAGAGCAAAUGGGGUGGGAUGCAGGAGGUAGUCAAGGGAGAUAAGCUCAGGUUCUGGAGGUAGUAUCAGAGGAGGCCUGAUGAAGAGGCUCUGCAGAGGAAAGAACCAAUGGUGCAAGGCCAAGAUGGUGCUCUAUGGACUGUAUGAGCCUCAUCCUACGUGAGCUUCAACACCAUGGAAGCGGGAGGAUAGGCACACAUCAGAUUCUCCUGCUGUUUUGGACAGACUGUGUCCAUCAGAGACGCCUGACUGACCUGCCCUUGAACAGAAGAUAUGGUGUUUGCUACUUGGCACAACAGAAAACACGUCUAUGUGAAGGAUGCCCUGCCCCCCAUCCUCAGGUUAGAAAAAUGAGUGUCUCAAUAUCUGGCCUGAGAGACCACUCAUGAUUUCUGCUGAAAGAUUUGAUCAGGUGAUCUGCCAAGCUGUUAUGAACCCCAAGGAAGAUGGGAUGCUUUCAGGUGAAUCACAUUGGUGAUACGAAACUCUCAAAGCUGUGUUGCCUCUUGACAAAGACUAUCCAAUUUGCUCUCUCCCUGUCUGUCAAUGUAGAAUGUCACCACAGGGUUGUCUGUGGAGACGUGUGUGUGUGUGUGUGUGUGUGUGUGUGUGUGAGAGAGAGAGAGAGAGAGAGAGAGAGAGAUAUGAGCCUAACAAGUCAGAUGAAGAACUCUCAACUCCCACAUGUUUAUGUGGAGAGCUAAAUCUUGCUGUGACCAUAGACAAUGAAUCCAUUGUUUAUCCCUAAGUGAGCUCCCCAACUUAGAGAAGAUGUGUCUGUAACCAGUCAGUAUGGGUAGGUGAGGGGCAAAGGGAACUCCCAAACAGGUGUUGGUUGGAUCCAUCCACCUGUUCAAGGAGGCUAGCACUCCUGUGGGCACCUGAAUGAGCAUGUUCAAUUGGAGACAAGCUGGGGAGUACACUGACUUCAACCAGCCCUGCAGUUUUCUGAUAUGAAGUUUGGCAUGCCAAACCACAUACAUGCAGGAGGCCAUUUGCCCCAUCAAUCUGAGGCAAUUACUUAAAGUUGUAAUUGGAUGGGCUUUUAGGUCUGUGGAAAUGGGUAAUGUUGUCUGGAAUCUGGACUGAGGUAGGAAAGCCCUGGUGACUGUAGAAUCCAAGAUUGCCCCUAUAAACUCUAUCCUCUGAACUGGAGACAAGACUGACUUGUACUCAUUGGUCAACAGACCCAAAACACUGGAGAGAGACCAGAUCUUUGCUAGAUUGAGUUCUACCUGAUUCUUGGACAUACCUCCAGAAUCAUUUGGAUGCCAUCUACAUUAUUAUUCCUUGCUGUGCACUGCACAAUAUCUGUAAGGCCAAAGGUGAGCCAUUUCACCAGGAGUGAACUCCAAGCACUGCUGGAUUGCUGCAACAGUACAUGCAACUAGAAACUGCACCUAUCAUUACUGGGGCAGAAGACGUACCCCCCCACACACACACACAGAGGAAAUCAGGGAUGCUUUUUGCAUCUACAUAAUGGGCUUGCAGGGUGACAUGGAUGAAUGGGAAUGACAUAAUAUAGACUGUUAUAGUUUUUAUGAAUUUUAUGUUUUAUAAAAAUGGUUUUACCUCAACAUACAGCUUUAUGGAUUACUGUGGUGAGGUUUUUGGUACUCAUUUUAAUGAAGUCUGAUUCUGCAUCCUUGUUUUCAAAUUCAAUGCUUUACUUUAAACUUGUAAGUAAAUAAGUCAUAAUUUAAAAAUCUUUUAGGCAGAGCAGCUGCUGUCAAGAUGUAAAAGAAGGUAAAUAAAAAUGGAAAAAAGGACAAAACAGCCAAACUAUAUUCACUGUCAUGAGACUAUUUUCAGUGUUGGUGUGUCCCCUGUGAUGGUGAUCUCUUGAGCCCUUCAAGUAAGUUGCACAUGCAUGGGCUGCAGUUGAACAGGAGUGGAGAAAUAUACAGAGUACGUUUGACUGUUUAAUAUGU